rnacentral:tRNA from 1 species
GGCUAUGGCUCAGUGGUAGAGUGUUCACCUAGCAUGUGUGAGGCACUGGGUCCGAUCCUCAGCACCA